GAGGCGGGCCCAGAGCUUGGGGGCCCGGGGCUCGGGAGGGCCAGGCACAAGGAGAAGCCGGCGCGGAGCAGCCGGGGGAGCGGGGUUGAGGAGAAUCCGGGCGGUGGCGGGGAGCCGGGCCGGCGCGCUCCGGGGCUGGCACGAGCCCGCGGCGGGCUGCCCGCGGCCGAACGGCCGGGCUGGGCGCAGAUUCCCGGGCCCGCCCCGCGGGGACGUGCGGCUUCAGCGGACCCGCGUUCGCGACCUCAGGGCGCGCCCCCCCCCCCCCCCCCGCCAGGGCCCCGAGCAUUUUGUGUCCCACACCGGGUUGGGGUGGGGGGACUUUGCCUGUGGGGCAACAGCGAAGCACGGCCCGGACGGGGACACCUCGAGUUUUGCGUGAAAAUGAUUGGUUUUUGGGGGGAGGGGGGUGGUGGCGCUUAUUGGCCACCGUUUGCCCUAAUUUAAAGGCUAUGACAGGGCUUCUGAGCCCUGCCUUAGGGGGGUUUUCCGCCCCCAAAGACCCACUCUGCAGCUGAGUUCUUUAUGCUCAGAUUUGUGUGUCUUGGUAUUUUUAAUGCUUGAUGUCAGAGGUGAUAAAUGACCCUGGUAAUGGGGAGCCCCUGAAGCACCUGCUGGGCUGACGGUGGUGGAGGUUGUGUCUAAGGGUGGGACGGGAGAAACGAAGCAGAGAUCCUCUUUGGAUAUUCUGCUGAAGUUAUCAUGUUUCUGUUCAAGUAUAGGUGUUCUAGAACAAGUUGAUAAAUCCAAUUUUAGGACUUUGUGGUCGAAGAGGUUUGAGCGGCAAACAGACCCAGGGUGACCUGGCUUGGCCAGGAAUGUUGGGGUAGCCCGACUAUCUCCUCCCGUUUCCCCUUGGCAUAUUUAUUUAUUUAUUUAUUUAUUUGCUGUCACAAAUGCUCAAGUGUCAUCACAGAAUAGGAAAGAAGCUAGGGGACAGCAUUUAGCACAGGCCCGAGCCCAGGAUUGAUGUUUUCAAAGGAACAAAUAUGUAACGAGGAAAAGGAAAAUCUUUUUAUCUGUAAGGUUGGUAGUUUGAGACAACUUGCUCUCUGGUUGGGAACUACCAGCCCAUACUAAUAGUUCAUUUUACGUAAUGCCAUAGAUAUUAAGGAUUGAGUGGGGAGGACUGCCAUAUCUAAGAUUUGUGUGAUUGAAAUUUUCACAAGUCAUAUUUUACCCAUAGCAUUACUAAAUAAAGGAACCCUAGGGUGAAUCCUUCUACAGAUCCCUCAGUGUGUCUUGAAUUUUGAUAUUGAGAGUCUGUUUAAAACGGAAUGCACAUAUUUAUUUGGUUUUGGCUUUACCUUGGAGAUAAUCCUGAGUCAUGCUUUAGAGAAGUUCCUUCUGUGAUCAACAGCUCAGAUGUCUGGUGGUCUCUAUAAAAGCCAGACGCUCCUCUUUACCUGUAAUUUUGUCUUCUGGAGCUCUGGACAAAGGAGGACCCGGGGAGGUGGGAAGCAGAUUAAGAGGCCUUCUCUUCCCUGUUUGCCUUGUUUCCACACCAGGGCUCUAAAUUACUUGUGUUCACACACCCAAGUUUCUCGAUUUACCACAGAAAUCUUGUUUAUGCUACUGCCACUAGUAUUUUCACAUUUGUUUAAUACUUGCCAGUUUACAAAUGGUGUUCUAUUCAUGCUCUUGCUUAUUUUCUCCUUUUCUGCAAAGAAGAAGCUGGGUUUAAAGAGGGAUUUAUUCAGGGUCUCAUAAUUAGUAAUGGAGCAGAAGUGGGAUACAGAUCCUUUCUGGGGAGCAGUUCUCUUUCCUCUGCACUGGCCUGCAUGUGACUUCAGAACCCCUAGUCCUGAUCUUUUACCCUGCGGGUCGGUUGUUGCCUUUGUAUUAUGACUUGGUGGUAAAACUGUUUUGUGGAAGGCGGUAUUAUCCCAUUUUAUUUUGUAGAAACUGAGGGUAAGAGGUGUCUUCUGAUUUUGUGACUAUUUGCGAUAGAUAGCUCUUUAGCUUUAAGGUCAUGUUUUCAACGUAGAGCGCCUUUCCUGUAGACUGCAUGGAGAGAGGAGAGAGAAGAAACAAUUCGUUGUAGGAAAAAACCAUCUAUUUCUGUGUUGGUAUGGUUAAGGAUAACCUAACACCAUAAUCACAUUCUCCUUGUGUGCCUGGCUACUUGUGUCAGCCUGUAUGUGAACAUCAACCCAAAAGACUCCUUUAGAUGUUGCUGAACUAGUUACUAUAAAAAGUAUUUCACUUUCAAACACCCAUGUUUCAAGAACAGAGGAAUUCCGUACAAAGGUAAUUUUGAAGGUAUGUGUAGAUGGAAUUUAUUGGGUCUUUUCUGAAUGCCAGACACAGAGAUUUCAGUAGAAAGGCAUUUUGUAGGGGCUACCUGGGAACUUUGGGUAGGCAGUAGUUAUAGGUUUUUAUUAUUUAUUCAAGUUUGGAGGUGUGUGUUCUGAUGUGUAAGUUGUAAUAUAGGAGUAGGACUUUUGCCUGGGAGAAUUCUUAGUUGUAGUCUGUAGCAGAAAUGAUAAACUCAGAAUGUUUAUGUAAAAUUAGUUCAUCAUAACCAAAAGCUUGAUUGGAAUUCUGCAGUGAUGAGGAGAAUGGCUUUCAGGAGUUCUUAGGUUAUUCUUUAAGUUACUAACUUGUUGAAUUGUGCAUUUUUCAGAUUUGCAACUUUAGAAAAUUCUUAGCAAUUUCUUGUAAGGCCUUUAAAAAUUCUUCAGUAUGUAUUUUCUGUAGUUUAAUUAUCUGUUAACAUUACACCUUCAGAAUUUACACAUUAGUCAUGAUUAACCUUUGAAGCUUAAAUGUGGGUGAAUUUCCAGUACUGCUUCCGGUACCCCUCUCCCACUCACUCUCUCUCUCUCAAAAUAAAUAAAUAAACUUAAAAAAAAAAAGUCCCUGAGGAUAAUCUUAAAAAAAAAAAGAAUUUUGUUUGCACCUACAGUCAGAUAUUUUCAGGUGGGACUGAUUUUUAAGGGUCAGAAACCUUUCUUUGAACUUUACAAUUGUUUGGGCUUGGUUGCAUUCAUUGUUGUUUAAAAUGAUCUUUAGUAAGGAGAGUCACUUUAAAGGAAAAUUUUUUUCAUUGUUACCCUCAUAAUCUCCAUUCCCAGCAAAUAUUCUGGAAUAUUAGAUUUUUCUUUGUCUUCAUCAAGUAAAACAGGCCCAUUUGAUGCCCAUUUUAAGAUCUUCCUUCUGCUGCCUGUCUUGUGGUCAUUUAACUUCUCAUUAAACCCUCCACUGGAGAUUGUGCCAGAAGGGGGAGAAGAUGAAAAGCAAAUGAAUCAUUUUCUAAUAGUUAGCAGCUCUGAAAAAAUGAUUUAGUAGAAGGAAUUGCCGCUAUUCCAGAAAUUCUUUCGGAUUAUGUUUUAUUUCAUUCAUGUGUACUAUCUCUGAGAUGUUCCUAAUAGUCAUCGAUUUAGAGGCUGAUUGUGCAGUUAUUGGGUGACCAGGAAUCUAACUGCUUGUUUUGGUUUGUUUCUUGCUGUAUCUAAGCAUCUCCACAGAGAAUGUUUAGAAGUAAGGAGUAGGGAUAAAAUUUAAACUUUAUCAAUACUAUUUUUUUUUCCCUUAGAGCUCUUUAGUGAACAGUUUGAUUUUUUUGGACAGUUUAGUCAUUGUUUUUGGAAGUGACUAAUAAUAACUUCAUUUUAUUUUGAUGUAUCUGCAUCUUAUACACAAAUGUAGGGAGACUUUUGGGUGCUUUUUAAGAAACAUGGGUUUAUAUAGGUUCCCAUAAUUGCUUUCUUGAAUAAUUAGGCUUGAGGUUUCAUUACUUCUUUGUAUUGGAACAGAACCUUGGCUUUUGCUGUGGAACAGAUUCAAAGGCAUCAUCUAAUUUUCUUUUUAUGAUUGCUAAAGAGUUACCUUGUUUUGGUUUAGCGGUAAAAAGUCAGGGGAAAAGGUUAAUAGUGGACAGACCUUGCACAACAGUUGUAACAUUGAUGAUAUCUGUUUUUUUCCUUUGUCUUUGGUCUCCCAUUUCUCAUUUAACCAUUCGGAUAUUCCUGGUUUAAAGUUCUUUACUUCACUUAAGACAGAGGACACCAGUCUUCAGUCAUGAUAGUGAGUAGGUUCUUGUUAUUUUUCCUCAGGGGAAUUUUUACAAGCCCAUUGUGACUGCUCACUUAGACUCAGUUCCUAUUAAAUUUGUAAAUAAAAUCUACCUGUGAGGGUGUGUAAAAUUAGUCCUUUCAGCUUUUUCUUUCUUGGAUUCAGUUCUUUCAAAUUCCACCCAAAGAGGCGAUUUAUAGAAAGAUCUAGACUAGGAGUCAGAAAAUCUAAGUUUUUAGUUACUUUCCAACCGUGGAAACUUGAGAAAGUCAUUUAAUCUGUUUCUCUAUUUUGCAUCUCUAAAAUAGGUACAGUAAUUCAUGCACUACUUAAUUGUAUCAAGAAUGUUGUGGGAGAAAAAGUUCUACCUCUUUUUAUUUAAAUUGUUUCUUCACAUUGGAAUCCCUUCUCUAAGGUUGUCCAAAUAUUCCUGCAGAGUUCUACUGAGUGAGCUCUUCCUGAAGUCCUCCCAUUUGGAAGUGUUCUUGCUCUUUCUUCCCAAAGGCCUCUGCUAGUCCAUCCAUUAUGUAGCACUUCUGAAUUCUGUACAGUUGUUGCAUGUUGCCUUUCUUCACAGAUAGAAAGCUCCAUGAAGGCAAGGAUUGUAUCUUCCCUAUUUCUGUGUAUCCGCAUUGCACACUCCCCGCCCCGCAGGGGACCUAUAAUAAAUGUCUCAGUUGACUGAAUUAUUUUUUAAAAUGUUUAUUUAUUUCGAGAGAGAGCAACAGUAGAGGAGGGGCAGAGAGAGAGAGAGAGAGAGAAUAUCCCAAGCAGGCUCUGUGCUGUCAGUGCAGUGCAGAGCCUUAUGUGGGGCUCGAACCCACAAACUAUGAGAUCAUGACCUGAGUUGUAUGCUUAACCAGCUGAGCCACCCAGGUGCCCUGACUCAUCUAUUUUUGAGGCUGUCAGGAAUAAAUACUCUGGGUGAUGGGAAGAUGCCAGAGAUGAGCCUGUUAUCAGAACUUUUGGAUGACUGGCCUUUUAAAUCACUUCAUUACUGGAGGGCCUGGAUGGCUUAGUCAGUUGAGCGUCUGGCUCAAGUCAUGAUAUCAUGGUUCCCGAGAUCAAGCCCCGAUUGGGCUCUGGGCUGCAUAGUGCAGAGCCUGCUUGGGAUUCUCUCUACCCCUAAGUUACUACUCCCACCCCCCCCCCCCCGGACUCUUUCUCUCUCUCUCAAAAUAAAUAAACAUUAAAAAAAAUAAAAUCAGUUAUUGCUCUGUCUACUGUAUCAUGUACUGAAUUGGAUACACAUAAUGUAAAUUGGUAAAGCCUGUUUUCUUGUUUCUAUUUACUUCAAGUGCUGUGAAGCAAGUCAGAGGAAUGAAAAGUUGUCACAACAGCCCUGAAUUUGACAUUUGUUCCAUUUCUCACCCUGUAGCAUGUGGAGGCCUAUCUAUAUCCAACUGCUGAGUAUGGAGAAUAAAACCUGACCGCACGUUGUCUGGUCCACAUUUUAGCUUGUUUUCUUUGAAGAAUGUGCAAGGUGGAAAAAUAGAUGCUUCAGGCUCUGAUUUCAGCCCAUGCUGUGCUAUGCAAAUGUUCUCUACAUGCCUGAGUGACCUUUUUGAGAAAGAGCCUUUGUGAUCUUCUGCAGCCAGGGAAUAGUGUGCCAGAUUUCUCUAAAAGUGGGAAAAGUGAAUCUGUUCAAAGACCAUAUUAAAAAGCCAGUGCUUUUCCUGGAUAAAUAACCGAUAAGUUCGUGUUUCUGACUGUCUCUUGCCAGAGCUUUUGAAAUUUGCUCUGCAGUUUGUUUUGCCGGUUGAUUUGGAGAAUGAUGUGUGUGAGAGGGGACUGACUGAACCAAUUCCAUAGCUGGGAAAGUGUUUAAGUGCUUUUGAAUUGUAGAUAAAAAUAAAUUCAAACAGGCAUCAUUAGUGUCUGGGUGUUUAUCAAUGUCUUCAGGCUGCCUCUCUGUAAGUGCCGGCUGAGUAACUCGCAACCAGAUUUGUGAGGUUCUUUUUGUUCCAAAUUGUGCUCUGAUGAUUUGGCAUUUACAUUGUUUUCUGUUUGUUUUAUUAUUGUACUGAAUGAAAUAUAUCAUUAUUAAAAGUAUAAUUAAUUUUUUUAAUGUUGUAAAAGAAAUACCAUUCUGAUGUAUUUCUCUUGGAGUGAUACUGGUGUCACUUGAAGUCUUGGAGGUUCAUGACUUUUAAUACUUUUACUGAGAUGUUUAGUUUGUAUAGCUGGAUAGUUUGUAUAGUUUGCCUAAUGGAUGAAAAAGAAUUUUCUCUUUCUCCCUUUCUCUUAAACCAGCUUUUUGAUAAGGAUCAUUAUGGGUUUGCACCAGAAUAAGGCUGUAGAGUUAAUCGUAAUGUUCUCCUGUAGAAAUUCUAAAAAUUGAAUUUUCAGAGAGCGUAGGUAGAAUUUGAAUGACUGGUUUACUAACUAGGCUCUUCCUCCUUCCCUAAGCAUAGGAUAAUUUUUUUCUCUAAAGAUGGUCAAUCUCUUAGGUAUGAGUAGAAGUUCCAAAGGAAUGCUUUCUUCUCCAGAUCUUUGCCCUAUAGCUGGUUUUGGUUGAGCAAAGAUGAAUAGUUCUCUGGUGGUUGGCCUGCUCUGUUGGGUGGAAAAAUCCUUCGCUGUUUUCAUGGUUAAAUGCUCUAUCAUAUGUCUUUUUCUCUUCCCCAAGUUUCCCUGGAACCUGGGCUCCCUGAGACGCAGCGCUGGAGCAGAUGGAUAAUGGAGACUGGGGCUAUAUGUUAAGUCCGUUUCUGAGGAGAAAAACUGCAGUGAGUGGAGACUCUGGAGCAGUUGGAGAUACGUAUGUACUUUUAUUUAUUUCACUGUAGUUUUAUUUUGAAUAGUUGAUUUGAUUGUCUUUCUUGGAGGUUAUAGGAAGGAUUAGUUUAGCUACAGCGUGACUUCCUAGUUUACCAGAACACCUUAUAAAAGAAAUCCUGUAAUUUCUUCCCUGUUUUCCUUUUUUUUUUUUAAUUUUUUAAAUUAUUAUUUUAGAGAGAGAGGGAGAGCGUGAGCAGAUGAAGGAGGCAGAGGGGAAGAGAGAGAGAGAGAGAGAGAGAGAGAGAGAAAUCUCAAGCAGGAAUGUGGAGCCCAAUGCGGGGCUUGAUCCCACCACCACAGGAUUGUGACCUGAGCUGAAAUCAAGAGUCAGAUGCUCAAUUGACUGAGCCGCCCAGGCACCCCUUUCCUAUUUUUUAGGGGAAGUAUGGAGUUCUGAGGCUGUGUGCCCUCGAGUAGGGUCCUCCUUAUGUCCUCUUUAUGAGAACAUUCUGAGAUUCUGUCCCUAAGAGGAUGAAAAUACUUACCUAUAUCCAUUUUUGCCCGUGUCUCUCUGAAAAUUUAUUUUAAGAUUUGACAAAUGACCAACAUCCAGAAACCUAUAAUUACCCCUUUUUCACCAUCUUCAGCUAAACUGUCUUCAGUCUGAUAUCUCUUCAUGUUAUUGGCAGGUUGCUGUGGUUCCAGUAAAUGUGCUAGGAUGAGGUUAUCUUUUUAGAAAAUUGUCUCAUACUUCAAACUGAUUAGAGGUUACCUAAAAAAACAUAUUCAGCCACUUAUGUGUUGUUGAGUUAGCUGAGGUAAAUGCAAGACAAUGAUUUGAAUUGAAAAUAGAUACAGAAAUGGGAAUAAUAUUAGUUGUUCCAGGAUUUCAAAAGUUUAAAACUUACAAGGUUUCUUCCGUGACCAUUUUACUGGGGAGAAGUUUGUUUUUGAUAAAAUUUCUCAGAUUUGUUAAUUAUUAACAACUGAAUGAUUAUUUUUAUGAAUAAAUUAGAGAAAGUAGCCAGCUGAGAUUUUUUGCAAUUUUAUGUGUCUGGUGGCAUUUAAUUUUGAUUGUUUUAUUUACUUGGGCAACAUGAAAAAUGUAGUUUGAUUAUAUUUGGGUAAUUUGAGACAAUUAUAUCUUCUUUUGGGAAAUUAAAAAUUUUUUCUAAUGUUUAUAUUUGAGAGAGACGGAGUGUGAGUGGGGGAGGGGCAGAGAGAGAGGGAGACACAGAAUCCGAAGCAGGCUCCAGGCUCAGCUGUCAGCACAGCCUGACAUGGGGCUCGAACUCGCGAACUGUGAGAUCAUGACCUGAGCCAAAGUCAGAAGCUUAACUGACUGAGCCACCCAGGCUCCCCUGAGGAAAAUUUAAGUUGUUUUCACUGUGAAAGAGUUGAUUUUCAAAAACUGAUAUUUAGUUGUAUUCUCAGGACUCUACAUUUUAUUUAGAGUAUUAGGCACUUUCGGAAGAUUGUGUGUGCACACAUUGUGUAUGUGCUUUUAAGCCUCAGAUAAAUGUGUGCAAUAGACGUGAUAACUAAUAAGUUCAUUGAGUUUUUUUAAAGACCUAAAACCCUGGUGUUUAACAAAAUAGAAACUACCAAUGGAUAGCGCUACUAUUUUUUAUUUCAAACAUAUUCAGAAGUAAAGAGAAUAGUGCAAACAUUCAUGUACCCAUUGAUCAUCUUCAACUAUUUGCUCUUUUUUUUCCUCCCAUGGAUUAUCUUAAAGUAAAUCACAGAUGUUUCAUUCAUUUCAGACUAUGUCUCUAAAAGAUAAUGAUUCUCUUUAAAAAAAUACACACUUUAUUGGGCGCCUAGCUGGCUGAAACGGCAGACUCUUGAUCUUGGGGUCGUGAUUUCAAGCCCUGUGUUGGGCGUAGAGCUUACUUGAAAAAACCAAAAAGAUAUAAAUGUAUACAUACUUGAAAAUGUAUAAAGUGUAUAUGAAGUAUACUUUAAAAUUUAAUGCUAUAUAUGCCAUUAAUGCUAUAUAUGCCAUUAAAUAGUGCCAUUAUCACAUGGUGGUGCCUCUUGAAUGCUGCUGAUUAUUUCACAGCUUGGCUCUCGAACUUUGUAAUAGUGGUCUUAAAUAUUUCUCAUAGGCAGGGUUCCCCUGUUUGUAGAAAAAAGUGCAUUGUUAGGAUAUAUCUGUCAGGAUUAAUGACUUUUACCUUCAAAUUAAGUUUUUCAUUUAAAAAAAGUAACAUUACAUAAGAUGCUUAAUUUUAAAAAUUAUUUUUUAAACCUAUUUUGUGUGAACAUAUGGGGAACAUUUUUUCCAAAGGGCAUCCUUCCUUUUCUCAUGCAGAUUUUAAAUUGUAUGCAGGUGGCCAAUUAAGAAACAGCUUAUCAUUUGCUUUUGGAAUUUAAUACAAAUAAAAUGCUUGACUUUUUGAGGUUCUUUGAAAUUGAACAUUUACCCACAAAGCAAGGGGCCAGAAGGCGGAGCCAGGUGGGCAAGGUACUCUCAGAUCACAUUAUCUCCCAUUGUCCUCUAAUGUAUGUCUUGAUUCUUUCCUGCCCAGCUCUAGCUUCAUCUUUUAUAUUGUUAAUUUACUCUUUUGCUUGUCUAGGCUAAAAACUUUAAGCUCCUCAUUGAAGACGGUGUUUGUGACUUUUUUGUUCUCCCCUGUAGCCUUAGUACCAAGAAUAGUUUCUGUCAUGUGGCAUAUGCUCAACAAAUAUUUGUUGAAUGACUGAGUGAAUGAAUCGGUAAGUUCUUUAUAUUGUUGGGUUAAAAGGAUGCCUUCUUGGAGACAGGGAAUGACCAAAAUGGAUUGAUUGGCCUUCUAUCUGACAAGCCUCUUGGAGGUAACCAGUUCUGUUACAACUUUAGAUAAUCGUGUUAAAUUAAGCCAUGAGGUAUGACAGGAUGCAAAAUGCAAAGAGCAAGUCUAACACCAUGCUAAGUGUGAAUGAAAGCCUGAGAGUUGCCAAUUUUAUAAGGUGUUAAGACACCUUUUCUGAAAUUUGACCUAAGGGGUAAAAAAGUAAGCCUCACUAUCUGAAAACAUAUUUGCACCAUAGACCUUAAAAUAAUCUGUUGUGUAUCUAUAGACUAUUGUUUUGAUCAUCUGUAUCAAAUCUAUUAAGUAUUAGUUACUGAAUUCUGAAUAUAGGGUUUAUUUCUUUACUCUGCUUAUUGCAGUCAUUGACAUUCAUAACCUUUCCCAGUGAGGCUUACAGCAGAGAGUCUGGGACGCAGGCCCCAGACUAUUAGGAUUUUAUGAGUCCUCCCCUUCUGUUAAUGACCUAGAGUUCUGGUAUUCUCUCUUAGACAGCUGGGGAUCUUUUUGCCAUAACCCUUGUAAUUGUUUAUAUGGCUUUCCUGGGCUGCUGAUGGCAGUAUACAGCAGCCUUCUUUGUUCCUGGGAUUGUGUUCCUCAGAAUGGAUAGGAAGGAGGCAUCUCUAGCAGACAGAUGUGAGAGCGAUCUCCCCACCCCAAGUUUCCUAUCACCCAUUUUUAUCACCACAAAACAGAGUUAAAGGCUGAAAAUAAGAUGGCUAAAUCACUGCAAUGAUUUAUCUUAUUUUUGUGACUUAAAAGCUAGUUUGCCACUAUGUGUAUAUGCUCUUGAGUAUGUCAAGCCACGAUUUAGAGCUUGGGCCUUCCUCCUAAUUCCCUUUACCAAAUUCUGAGCAAUGCAUUUUGCUGAUUGCAGUCCAGACUCAGAGUUCUUGCCAGACCAUAUCCCUACUCUUGGUUUCUUUUAUGUAUUCUCUUUUAAACACACGUGCUAUGCCAAGCAAUUUCCAACCUAAUGGGAAUCAAUUAAAAUGAGAAAACAUGGAAGUGUAUUCACUGCUUGUUCUCUGCUCUCUUACAUAAUUUAUAAUGUGUUCUACUCAACUACCUGAGUAUUGGUCGGUGACCUCUGAGCCCAUUCGAAUAGACGUUCAUAGACAUUGCCAUCGUAACAGCCAAGUGCUGAGUUUAAGCUCUGAUCCGUGAAGUCAAAAGCAUCAGUUAACAAGAUGGCAUCCUUCCUGUGAGAGAAAACAAGAGUUUGUACUGUGGGAUCAUACCAAUGCUUUUACAAACUGCUUCUUUUUUUCCUCUUAAUGCUAAAAGGACUCAUGAUCCUGACAAAGAAGAAGAGAAAAUACAACAGUUGGACCCAAACGUGGAACGAACACUCUGCUUUUGUGACUCGGGAACUCCGAGAGGGCCCACAUGGCACUCUGCAGAAGCAUCAGGAAGCACACAGAAUAACUUGGGCCAUCUGUUUUCUCCUGGAAACAAGCGGUGGGCUGGGUUCUCUGAGGAAUUCUCAUGGCAUGUUUGGACCAGAACAGUCUGCUCAGAAAAGAGAGAAGGUCCCUGCCUGGGGCUCUGAGGUGUUGGAGGUGGGACCAGGCUACCUCCCCAAGCAGUGAAGCCUGGCUGCUGGGAAGAAGGCAGAACCCAGAACAUUGCUGCCGUCCUGCAGCCAGGGAUCGCUGCGUAGAGCCCAGCUGUGGCCCUACCUGCCCAACAUCCACACCCCAGUCCUCUGGCUCUCUUGGGAAAACUGUCCUGUACUCUCAGACCAGGUAGUUCUUGGGACUCACCUCAGUCUCCCAGGCCUGGACAAAUAGAGCAUCCUGUCCUCUAGUCACAGUGAUUGAGCCUGGUGUGGUCAUGUGACCCAGGCCAGCCGAUGAAACUCAGUCUUGGGCCUUUUGCAGGGAUAAUUUGGGUGGGAGAAAGCUGUCUUCCCAGUGGGGUGCCAGCCUGGGCUAAUAUGCCAGCCAACCAGUGGCCUCCCUCCUUUACAUGAAGCAGCCCAUUCUCAUGUCCCAAAAACUGAAUCUAACAGAGGAGAACAGAGCUAAAGAUGAUAUGAAAGGGACCCUUGAUGAUGUGGUUUGAACCCCUGGAUCCAGCUGGUCCUGAAGCCCGCUGUCUCUGGCCUUUUGUAUAUAUGAACCACUAAGUUCCUUGUUUUGCCUAAGUGAGUUGGAGUUUGGUUCAGAAACCU